GAUCCUCAAUAGGAUGUGUUUGCAGCCAUCGGUGGUCCUCAGCUCUUAGUGCCUCUCUUGUCAUUACUAACCAGCAUGAUCAUUGUUAUAAUCAGUCUGCAUUUCCUGCUCUACUGGACUUCAGUUUUAGCAGAAGAUAAUGGAGUCACUCAAAUCCCCAGUGUCGCCUGGAAUCUAAAAGGAGAAUCUGCUGAAAUGAAGUGCAGUCAUAAUAAAGAUGCUGGCUAUUAUCAGAUGUACUGGUUCAGACAGCGCCAAGGACAGAGUAUGGAGCUCAUCGUGUACAUAACAACCAGUAAUCAACCAGAUUUUGGCUCUGUGGAUAAAAAUAAAUUUUCUGCUAUUAAAAAAAUAGCUGCAAAUGGAUCUUUAACUGUGAAGGAUCUGGAUACAGAGGACAGCGCUGUAUAUUUCUGUGCAGUAAGUGAGCACAGUGUUACAGAGUUACUGCACUGCUGAACAAAAACACCUGCACUGAUGUUACU